CCUACGGGAGGCAGCAGUGAGGAAUAUUGGUCAAUGGGCGCAAGCCUGAACCAGCCAAGCAGCGUGAAGGAUGACGGCCCUACGGGUUGUAAACUUCUUUUGUACAGGAGUAAAGUGAGGCACGCGUACCUUUUUGUAAGUACUUUAUGAAUAAGGAUCGGCUAACUCCGUGCCAGCAGCCGCGGUAAUACGGAGGAUCCGAGCGUUAUCCGGAUUUAUUGGGUUUAAAGGGUGCGUAGACGGGAUGUUAAGUCAGUUGUGAAAGCCUGAGGCGCAACCGUAAAAUUGCAACUGAUACUGGCAGGCUUGAGUGCAGUUGCGGUAGGCGGAAUGCGUGGUGUAGCGGUGAAAUGCUUAGAGAUCACACAGAACACCGAUUGCGAAGGCAGCCUACUAAGCUGCCACUGACAUUGAUGCUCGAAAGUGUGGGGAUCAAACAGGAUUAGAUACCCUUGUAGUC
rnacentral:rRNA from 1 species